rnacentral:rRNA from 1 species
AUGACUCCAUCACCCCCGUGCAUCCGUUCAACCGGAGCCGCACUAUACGCUCGGGAUCAAGCUGAUUUUCCGCCACGGCCGUCGUCUCUCGUCGUCGAGCUCGUCGCAUCCGGUCGCUCACCUCGGCCUCUAGCUGCGACCAGCUCCCCCGGUGGUCGUGCUCGCGCGCCCUGGCCAUUCCCUGCGCCCCCACGCGCGACCCCGAGCGCCCCCUGCCCUUGCGUACACGGCGCCCCGGCCGUGCCCAGCGGGCUCAAGCAGUGGCCGCGCGCUGCUCUACCUGUUGCUUCUCCCGCAUACUGCUGCUGCUACUACUUGCUUUCCGCUGCUACUUCCUCCUGCUGCCACUACGACAUAGCUGCUCCUCCUUGCGCUGCCCUGUUGCUUGACUACUUUGCACUACUACUGCUUUGUACUGCUCUAGCUACUGCGUAUUGUUGCUGCUACUACUUCUUGGGCAUGGCCGCCAAGGCUCCUGUACUCGGUCGUGUGUGCGUAGGUGUGUGUAUGAGCCGGAUCUUGUUUAGUCUAGUUUAG